AACGAACGCUGGCGGCAUGCCUAACACAUGCAAGUCGAACGAGACCUUCGGGUCUAGUGGCGCACGGGUGCGUAACGCGUGGGAAUCUGCCCUCUGGUUCGGAACAACAGUUGGAAGCGACUGCUAAUACCGGAUAAUGACUUCUGUCCAAAGAUUUAUCGCCUGAGGAUGAGCCCGCGUAGGAUUAGCUUGUUGGUGAGGUAAAAGCUCACCAAGGCGACGAUCCUUAGCUGGUCUGAGAGGAUGAUCAGCCACACUGGGACUGAGACACGGCCCAGACUCCUACGGGAGGCAGCAGUGGGGAAUAUUGGACAAUGGGCGAAAGCCUGAUCCAGCAAUGCCGCGUGAGUGAUGAAGGCCUUAGGGUUGUAAAGCUCUUUUACCCGGGAUGAUAAUGACAGUACCGGGAGAAUAAGCCCCGGCUAACUCCGUGCCAGCCGCCGCCGUAAUAC
rnacentral:rRNA from 1 species